rnacentral:misc_RNA from 1 species
UGUUCGAGCGUCAUUUCAACCCUCAAGCCUAGCUUGGUCUUGGGCUAUGCCGGCAACGGCUGGCCUUAAAAUCGGUGGCGGUGCCAUUGAGCUCUACGCGUAGUAAUACACCUCGCGUUUGGGUCUCGGUGAGUGCUUGCCAGCAACCCCCAAUUUUUAUGGUUGACCUCGGAUCAGGUAGGGAUACCCGCUGAACUUAA